UGAGCUGGGAGACCAGGAAGAAGCUGA
rnacentral:piRNA from 1 species